rnacentral:rRNA from 1 species
ACACCGGCAGCCCAAGUGGUGGCCAUUUUUAUUGGGCCUAAAGCGUUCGUAGCCGGCCUGAUAAGUCUCUGGUGAAAUCCCGCAGCUUAACUGUGGGAAUUGCUGGAGAUACUAUCAGACUCGAGGUCGGGAGAGGCUGGAGGUACUCCCAGGGUAGGGGGGAAAUCCUGUAAUCCUGGGAGGACCACCUGUGGCGAAGGCGUCCAGCUGGAACGAACCUGACGGUGAGGGACGAAAGCCAGGGGCGCGAACCGGAUUAGAUACCCGGGUAGUCCUGGCCGUAAACGAUGUGGACUUGGUGUUGGGAUGGCUUCGAGCUGCCCCAGUGCCGAAGGGAAGCUGUUAAGUCCACCGCCUGGGAAGUACGGCCGCAAGGCUGAAACUUAAAUGAAUUGGCGGGG